CCGGCGCACGGGUGAGUAACACGUAUCCAACCUGCCGUCUACUCUUGGACAGCCUUCUGAAAGGAAGAUUAAUACAAGAUGGCAUCAUGAGUCCGCAUGUUCACAUGAUUAAAGGUAUUCCGGUAGACGAUGAGGAUGCGUUCCAUUAGAUAGUAGGCGGGGUAACGGCCCACCUAGUCUUCGAUGGAUAGGGGUUCUGAGAGGAAGGUCCCCCACAUUGGAACUGAGACACGGUCCAAACUCCUACGGGAGGCAGCAUG
rnacentral:rRNA from 1 species